UCGCUUGUACUUGGACUCCGCAGGCUUUCAUCGAUACCUCUGCGGACUUUUUGUCUACUCUUUUCCGCGUCUUUCGCCUUCUCUCUUCCUCCACUUGUGAACCCUAAAUCCUCACGUACGAGAUCAAAAGGUGCGCAAAAUCUUCCUUUUUGGCCUCCCGAACGCCAGAGCAUAGCAGACGCCUGGCAGGGAGCUCCAGUUGAAUGGAUAAUUCUGAGAUAUUGGACGAAAAAGUUGGUCUGACAGUUAACGGGAACUUUCUAUCUAGUGAUAGUUUUAAAGAGAGUGAUCAUACUGCUAGCGACUCAGCUUUAUAUGAAAAGUUUAUUCUCGACAUAGAUUCCUAUUGGGACGAGCUCAAUGACCGUUUGAAUGUUUCAAGAAUGGUGAGUGAUUCAGUAGUUAAGGGAAUGGUAAAUGCGAUAGUUGAAGAGGCUAAUGAGAAAAUUGCUUUGAAGGAUUUAGAAAUUGCUGUUUUGAACAAGAAGUUGGAGUCUUGUAAUUCCAAUGUAGUGCUAGUCCCAAACUCUGUGCCAAUUACAAUGCUUAAUCGGUCUUCGAUGACGGAGUCAGAAAUUAGUGACCGAUUGAAGUCAUGUGAAAGCUAUUCAAGUGCUCAUGGAGAUUUCAAAUUUUCUGAUAGUUUCAGUCAGUUAAGAAUGUUAAGUGAAUUUCAAUGGGAAGAUGGGCUUCAAAGCCAAGUUGCCUCUAUUGUUCUUCAGGAUUUUAUUAGAGACCUUCAAGAUCAGUAUGAAACAAAAUUGUAUAACCAAACUCUUUCUAUCAAAGCUUUAGAUAAGAAGGGACAGGAUAGGGUUUCCGAGCUCAGUACCCUGCGUGGCGAACUCCAUGCUAUUUUGGAGGAGCUGAAUAAUCAUGAUAAUUUUGAAGAAUGGAGUGUUUCUAAGAGGAAGGAACAUUUUCCUUCAAAAGUAGUCCAAAACCAUAUGGUUCCAUCUGAAGUCGAGGAAAAUGGUAUAUUCCUGAUGGAUAGGUCUGGGGAGUUUGGAGAACACAUGUUGGACAUUGCUGAUCUUCCUCAGUUGAAGCACAUGAACAAGGAGGAGCUGCUUGCAUAUUGUAAAAAUGAAAUGGUGAACAUGAGUAGACGGCAUGAUUCAGCCUUGCAAGAAAAGACAGAAGAGUUGUUUAGGCUCAAGAGAAAAUUUCUCAAGGAAAUGGGUUCUUCACCUUUCAGGAAAGAUAAGGAGAUUGAGCACUUGAGGAAAAAAUUACCGGAAUUUAUUGCAAAGUUAGAUGAAAUUCUCAGGGAGUUUAAAAAGCCACGUCCAAUGGAUAACCAUGACGAUGAGUUGCAGAACUUUAAGGAGAGAAUUCAAAAUUUAUUUUCGGAGAAUAACCACAUGCAGAGUUUGCUUAUGAAGAAGACAAAUGAGCUCAAGUAUCUAUCUGCAGAAAUCUCAGAUGCAGAAAACCAGGCGUCACUCCAUUCAUCUAUGGAGGCAAACUACUUUAGACAAAUAAGGAAGUUGGAAAGUGAUCUCGAGGAUGUACAGAUGGAAGCUAAAAUCAGAGAUUCAUUGUGCAGUACUAUUUUAAGAGGGUUCAUUCACGAGUGUAACCAUACAAUGAAGGAUACUGAAAAUGAGGAUCAUUCUACCAUUGAAAUUUAUACCACUAUAUUCAGAGUGGUUAUUUCAGAGGUCAUUUCUAGUAUGAACCAUGCAGUGUCACAGUAUUUUGAAGAGAAAGUAUCCCUUGGAGCAAUGGCUUUGGAGAAGGAGAAGGCAUUGAAGUUGGAAAUGGAAGAGAACCAGAAGCUAAAGCAACUUGCAUCAUCAAAUUCAUUGCUGGCAAAAGAAAAGGAAAAGCUUGCCUCUGAGGCUGGAUCUGCAGUAAUGCUACAAAAGAAGCAGCUUGAUUUUGCCAAACAGGAACUUGACAUGCUUAGAAAUCGCAUACAUAUGCAAGAAUUGCAGAUUUCAGAUUACGUUAAGGAGUCCACUUCACUGAAUUGUAAAUUGAAUGAGGCCUUACAGAAAAUUUGUUAUAAUGAACUUGAGACGAAUAAAGUUAAAGAAAAUCUCAGAGAUGUCUCAGAUGCCUUAAAGGAAGCAGAAAAACAAAAGGCCAUGCUUCUCAGUGUUCUUGAAGAGAAGCAGAAAAAACUAUCAUCCUUCCUGCAGGAGGACAGAGAACAUGUUAAGCAGUUGGAAACUAUCGAUACUUUUAUGAGCGUAAUAUCUAAGAGUUUUGAAGGUUUAGAAAGACGUUUGACGGAGAGUAGUAACAAAAAUGGAACAAGGUUGAAAGUCCUAGAUCAUCAGUUGAAGUUGCUGCUGCAACUAUCUAAACAACAGGAGAAGAAAUGCUCGUGGUACCAAAAUAUUCUCGAGAUGAGAUGUUCUGACCUACAAAAAGCUGAAGCAGAGGUUGAUAUUCUAGCAGACGAGGUAGAGGUUCUUAUCGGGCUUCUUGGAAAGAUAUACUUGGCACUCGAUCAUUAUUCUCCGGUACUGGAGCACUAUCCAGGAGUAAGAUGCUCUCCCUGAUACUUAUCAUUGUGGUGCAGAAUCGAUAAUCUCAAUGCUACUUGCUGCGUACCAGAGAACUAAAUUUCAAGUAAUGGAAAUUCUAAAAUUAAUACGAAUGGAGUUAAAUGGAGAAAAUAAUUGAAGUUCGAUCGACAACCAGAUUUUCAGGCAAUUAUCUUGACAUUCCAAGUUCACAGAGGAAAAUGAAUGCAGUUGAUUAGUUACUUUCCGCUCGAAUUAUGCUCAAGCCCCAUUAGUUCAUUGUGCAGUGUAAUUUAGAGUAUUUGAUCAAGAAAAAAAAAUGUAUACACAGCCAUGUUUUUCGUUCUAGAGAGUAUUUGUUCGACAUGUAAUUAAAUUAGUUAUCCAUCACCCCUCUAAUUUAUUAAUUGUGUAGCGAAAAGGGACAUGUGAAAUUCUAGUAAUUUUUGUAGAGCAGAUCACUAGAACAGAUUAGUGAAUUUGUAUUCUUUGAAGAUGUA